rnacentral:rRNA from 1 species
GAUGAACGCUAGCUACAGGCUUAACACAUGCAAGUCGAGGGGGAAACGAUAGAGAAAGCUUGCUUUUUCUAGGCGUCGACCGGCGCACGGGUGAGUAACGCGUAUCCAACCUGCCCAUCACUUGGGGAUAACCUUGCGAAAGUAAGACUAAUACCCAAUGAUAUCUCUAGAAGACAUCUGAAAGAGAUUAAAGAUUUAUCGGUGAUGGAUGGGGAUGCGUCUGAUUAGCUUGUUGGCGGGGGUAACGGGCCCACCAAGGCGACGAUCAGUAGGGGUUCUGAGAGGAAGGUCCCCCACAUUGGAACUGAGACACGGUCAAACUCCUACGGGAGGCAGCAGUGAGGAAUAUGGUCAAUGGACGAGAGUCUGAACCAGCCAAGUAGCGUGCAGGAUGACGGCCCUAUGGGUUGUAAACUGCUUUUAUAAGGG